rnacentral:rRNA from 1 species
GACGAACGCUGGCGGCGUGCUUAACACAAGCAAGUCGAACGGAAAGGCCCUGCUUUUGUGGGGUGCUCGAGUGGCGAACGGGUGAGUAACACGUGAGUAACCUGCCCUUGACUUUGGGAUAACUUCAGGAAACUGGGGCUAAUACCGGAUAGGAGCUCCUGCUGCAUGGUGGGGGUUGGAAAGUUUCGGCGGUUGGGGAUGGACUCGCGGCUUAUCAGCUUGUUGGUGGGGUAGUGGCUUACCAAGGCUUUGACGGGUAGCCGGCCUGAGAGGGUGACCGGCCACAUUGGGACUGAGAUACGGCCCAGACUCCUACGGGAGGCAGCAGUGGGGAAUAUUGCACAAUGGGCGGAAGCCUGAUGCAGCAACGCCGCGUGCGGGAUGACGGCCUUCGGGUUGUAAACCGCUUUCGCCUGUGACGAAGCGUGAGUGACGGUAAUAGGUAAAGAAGCACCGGCUAACUACGUG